ensembl:miRNA
AGCAGUGCAUUUUUUGCCAGCGAUGAACAACAGCUGCGUGCCAUGCCUGUAAAUCCAUACCAGCAGAGGUGCCCCGCUGUUGCUGUCACCACUGCUGAAACGCACCA